UUUCACAAGGUUGACCUCGGAUCAGGUAGGGAUACCCGCUGAACUUAAGCAUAUCAAUAAG
rnacentral:rRNA from 2 species